rnacentral:misc_RNA from 1 species
AACGCACAUUGCGCCUCCCGUGAGGGGGGCAUGCCCGUCCGAGCGUCGUAUGAACCCAUGGGGCCGCUCCUUUGGAGCGUACCCGUCUUGGGCCUCGCCCCCCGGCGUCGCCCCGAAGCCAUUUGGUCUCAAAGUGGACGAGUCCCGGUAGGGCGGACCACGGAGGGACGUGCAGCUUGAACUUCGACCUCGGAUCGGGUAGGGACACCGCCUGAACUUAA